CCACUGCUAUCGGGAUGGGACUAAGACAUGCUAGUCGAGCGCCUCCUAGCCACGCUGGAGGCGCGGCGCACAGCUCAGUAGCACGUGGCUAACCUGCCCUCGGGACGGGAACAUCCUCGGGAAACUGGGGUCAAUUCCCGAUAGGUGAAGACUCCUGGAAUGGACCUUCGCCCAAAAGACGUUUAGGUCAUGCUUCUAAGCGUUGCCCAAGGAUGGGGCCGCGGCCGAUCAGGCUGUUGGUGAGGUAACGGCUCACCAAACCUUUGACCGGUUCGGGCCGCGGGAGCGGUGGCCCGGAGAUGGGCACUGAGACAAGGGCCCAGGCCCUACGGGGCGCAGCAGUCGCGAAAACUUCGCAAUAAGCGAAAGCUUGACGGGGCCAUCCCGAGUGCCAUCUGCUGAGGAUGGCUUUUACCCAGUAUAGAUAGCUGGGGGAAUAAGGAGAGGGCAAGUCUGGUGUCAGCCGCCGCGGUAAUACCAGCUCUCCGAGUUGUGGGGACGUUUAUUGAGCCUGAAGCAUCCGUAGCCGGCUGUGCAAGUCCUCUGUUAAAUCCAGCGAUAAAUCGUUGGUCUGCGGGGGAUACUGCUCGGCUAGGAGGCGGGAGAGGCCGUCGGUAUUCUUGGGGUAGGGGUGAAAUCCUAUAAUCCCAGGAGGACCACCAGUGGCGAAGGCUGUCGGCUAGAACGUGCUCGACGGUGAGGGAUGAAAGCUGGGGGAGCGAACCGGAUUAGAUACCCGGGUAGUCCCAGCUGUAAACGAUGCAGGCUAGGUGUUAGGGCGGCUACGUGCCGCUCUAGUGCCGCAGGGAAGCUGUUAAGCCUGCCGCUUGGGGAGUACGGCCGCAAGGCUGAAACUUAAAGGAAUUGGCGGGGGAGCACCACAAGGGGUGAAGCUUGCGG
rnacentral:rRNA from 1 species